rnacentral:lncRNA from 1 species
GGGGAUUAGCGCUGCUUUCCCAAGACAGGUUUUAUGUGAUUAUGAUCUUCAGGCUUUGCCUAACCAGGUGGGCUUACUUUCCAAAUGUACAAAGUAUGAUUGAGUUAUUAAGCUCUAAAUGUUUCAAUGAAAUGCAAAUUGUUUAUUCAAUAAAAUGAAAACUGUUUAUCCAAUAAAAUAUUUUGUGCACUCUGCUCCGUUUAAGGCUCGCAACAAUGAAUCGAUCGAGGUUCUCUCUUGACCUAACACGUUAUUUGAGAAUUGUGUACACCUAUUAGAUGACUCGGUGGGUUGAUCUCCAUUCGGGCACUAAUUAUGUAUGAGGCGUUAUAAGGGUGCUCGACGGGAUGUGUUCCGGAGCAUUGGGUCCCAAAUGGGAACUUGACUGGGUUACGC